AAGGAGUCCGCCAAGGAAAAGCAACUGAAGGAAGAAGAAAAGAUUCUGGAGAGUGUGGCUGAAGGCCGAGGUACCAUUAUAGUUGGUGCAGACAGGUUGUGUCCCAAGGGGUCUCCUUUGAGAGGCAGGAACCUCAUUGAGCUAUGUCUGUCUCCUCAGCCUUGAUGUCAGUGAAGGAAAUGGCCAAAGGCAUUACCUACGACGAUCCAAUCAAAACUAGUUGGACACCCCCGCGCUAUGUCCUGAGCAUGUCAGAAGAGCGGCACGAGCGUGUUCGGAAGAAGUACCACAUCCUGGUGGAGGGAGACGGUAUCCCGCCACCCAUCAAGAGCUUCAAGGAAAUGAAGCUCCCUGCAGGUACCUGAGGA
rnacentral:lncRNA from 1 species